AGUAUUUUUAACUUCGAAAUUCGACCCUUAGUGAAUCUGCCCCUAAAUGUGUAUAUUAACUCUCAAGAUUUGUUUGUUUGAGGUUGAACAUAAAAUAACUCCCAAUGCUGAGGGCUCAGGGUGGUGCACUUCCCCCAUGUGGUGAGUAAAUAUUCUACCUUAUGGAGACCCUCCUUCCAAAUCUUAUUACUAUGAUGGUUAUAGUAACUACAGUGAUGGUAACUACAAUGAGGAAGAAAAAGAAGCAGAUUUUGCUGUACAGAGGAAAAACUACAGACAAGUAGAACUCAAACGUGGCUUAACCAGCUUUUAAGAAAAACAAUGUGAAAGGAAUUCAGCAAGGACAUGAACAACAGCAGACUUUUCAUAUGGACAAGAACGUGGCAACCAGAAAAAUGUAAAGGCCGUGGAAGAGGUUUACAUAAAGGGCCAAAUCCUUAUUUUCAAGAUGGCUCUCAAGGGGACUAUGACAGGAUUGGGUCUUCCGGUACAGCACCUGGCACAACAAAAGUGUCUUAUUUUGCGAGGCUUUGUGACUGUGUAUCUCUAUUGGUAACUUAAAAUAUAUAUGUGUAACAAUCUUCAUGUUUUAAGCAAUUUUGUUAAAUGCUGUAAAUAUCAGGGAAAACAUAUCCGUUCCAACCAGUUUUAUUUAAUUUCAUUCCCCAGGGACAAAAUGUUCUUCAUAAAUCUGAGGUUUAGACAGUGAUCUUAUGUAGUGCAUGCCCAUUUUGUAUUUGCAUUUUGUUGUCAUUUUAAUACUUGUUUGCCUACAUAGUUUUAAUUGAAAUAUUUUUUUAAAAAAUUGAGUCCUUUAGUGUUUCCAUUUACUUUUUUCACUAUUUUAUAUAAAUUCUCUGCAAUAAAUAAAAAUUUAUUGUGAUUAAAUAGAUAAAACAAGCCACAUAUGGGCCAAUAUUUCAAGAUAUCUGGCCAAGCAGUACAGGAGUGUGGCCAAAUCGCUGAUUGAACCAUUGGCCAGCUGGUUGGAUAUCUGAAACAAAACGAGUGAGGAAAAGUUUAAAUGCCAUGGGCAUAAAACAUAGACAGGGCUGCUAUUAGGUGGGGGGUACAGAGGGUACUGCAGUUGGGGUCCUGUGGCAGAGGGGGCACCAGAGAUGGAAAGGUGCAAUUUCAGAGUUACAAAAAAUGUUUGCAUUCGGUGGAUCAUGGGUGGUGUUUUAGCAUAACUAGCAGCCCCACAUUAUUGUUGGUUGGCCCACCACCCAGGGACCCAGGAGACUGUCUAAUAUUUAGGGGCCCAUGGGUAAUGGGCCCUGAUAAAUUUGUAAUAUUGGGCCCCAAGUCUACUGAUGGUGGCCCUGCAUACAAUAACUCAAAAAAGGAAGGUAUAAAACAUGAUCAGUAAUGCAACAGGUUAAAUUGCUAUAUGUGUAAGAUAUGUGUAACAAGUAUCAGGCAGCAGUUGAUACCACCAUUAUAGGGACUCUUGCCCUGCUUGAGGGAGAAAAUCAUUCCCUUGCCCUUACCAGAACUUCAUUUGGGACCUCCAUGUUAAACAACAGGACAAUCCCUUAAUACUUCAGUUCUUUGUACCUAUGGAGCUCCAUUUGAGUCUAGAGUCCUGCAACAAUCCCUCCGUUGGGAGGAAUGGAGCUACAAUUCUAUAGCUAAUAGGGUGGUUAUAUAAUUUUGAGUGUCCAUGAAUUGUGUGUGUGGCUAAGCAGAUUCUGGCCCAUGGUCCUUAAACUCACCUAUGGCUGGGUGCUGGGAGUUGUACUGUAAAAAGAACUACAGGGCCACUGGCUGGAUAACACUGAUAUAAAGUCUUACUGUCCCACCUUUCCCUACUGUCACCUUCUUACCUACCUACUAUACCUGCUGUUACUUUGCCUUAAUGUCCCAUUGUGCCCUACUAUACCUGCUGCCCUCCCUGUUCCAACUUGCAACUUCUAUCCUGCCAGGCAUGACUGUGUAUGGCCUUUGGCAAAGUGAACACAGUAUCAAUGAGUCUAUGCCCAGGUGCAGACCAGCCAAUAAGAUGCUUGCUUUUAAACAGGUGACCAGUACAUGAAGCUGGCAAAGCAAAGGUGGGCACAUGCCAUCUAUACUCAAUCUGAUUGGCUCAGGCAGCUGAAGCUUCAUAACAGUCAUAACUGUCUUCAUAACGGUCUUGACUGUUAGAGGAG